AGAGUUUGAUAAUGGCUCAAGAUUAACGCUGGCGGCGUGCCUAACACAUGCAAGUCGAGCGGCAGCGAGUUUUUACACUGAAUUCUGGAAGCUUCUAGUUGAAAGAGAAGAUUUAUUCAAGAAUUUUGUGUAAAAUGUCGGCGAGCGGCGGACGGCUGAGUAACGCGUGGGAACGUACCCCAAAGUGAGGGAUAACGCAUCGAAAGGUGUGCUAAUACCGCAUAUGGUCUUCGGAUUAAAGCCUUCGGGCGCUUUGGGAACGGCCUGCGUAAGAUUAGAUAGUUGGUGGGGUAAUGGCCUACCAAGUCGACGAUCUUUAACUGGUUUGAGAGGAUGAUUCAGUCAGACUGGAACUGAGACACGGUCCAGACUCCUACGGGAGGCAGCAGUGAGGAAUCUUCCACAAUGGGCGAAAGCCUGAUGGAGCAACGCCGCGUGCAGGAUGAAGGCCUUCGGGUUGUAAACUGCUUUUAUAAGUGAUGAUUAUGACAGUAACUUAUGAAUAAGGAUUCGGCUAACUACGUGCCAGCAGCCGCGGUCAUACGUAGGAUCCGAGCGUUAUCCGGAGUGACUGGGCGUAAAGAGUUGCGUAGGUGGUUUAAUAAGCGAAUAGUGAAAUCUGGUGGCUCAACCAUUCAGACUAUUAUUCGAACUGUUGAACUCGAGAGCAGAAGAGGUAGCUGGAAUUUCUAGUGUAGGAGUGAAAUCCGUAGAUAUUAGAAGGAACACCGAUGGCGUAGGCAGGCUACUGGGCUGUUUCUGACACUGAGGCACGAAAGCGUGGGGAGCGAGCCGGAUUAGAUACCCGGGUAGUCCACGCCGUAAACGAUGGAUACUAGCUGUUUGGGGUAUCGACCCCCUGAGUAGCGAAGCUAACGCGUUAAGUAUCCCGCCUGUGGAGUACGAUCGCAAGAUUAAAACAUAAAGGAAUUGACGGGGACCCGCACAAGCGGUGGAUCAUGUUCUUUAAUUCGAUGAUAACCGAUAAACCUUACCAGGUCUUGACAUCCUUGGAAUCUUUCAGAAAUGAGAGAGUGCUUUUUAAGAGCCAAGUGACAGGUGAUGCAUGGCCGUCGUCAGCUCGUGUCGUGAGAUGUUUGGUUAAGUCCAUCAACGAGCGCAACCCUUGUCAGUAGUUGUAUUUUUCUACUGAGACUGCCCCGGUAACGGGGAGGAAGGAGGGGAUGACGUCAGGUCAGUAUUUCCCUUACGUCCUGGGCUAGAAACGUGAUACAAUGGCUAGUACAAUGCGCAGCGAAGCCGCGAGGUGAAGCAAAUCGCAUCAAAGCUAGUCCCAGUUCGGAUUGUAGGCUGAAAACUCGCCUGCAUGAAGUCGGAAUCGCUAGUAAUCGCGGUUCAGCUUGCUGCGGUGUAUACGUUCCCGGG
rnacentral:rRNA from 1 species